rnacentral:lncRNA from 1 species
GUGACCUUUCUGGGAGCUUUGAUUUGGGAAAGAGAAAAGAGCACAGACCAUGGCAUCAGGACGUGUCCAGGCCUGUCACUCUGCCACGAGUCUCAGUGAGGACUUCUUCCUCGGAGGGACCUUGUGAGGGUUAGCUGAGAAAACAAGCGUAGAUAUUUGCGGAAACAUUGCUAAGGAUCGUCUGAAGAAAGCACAGGAGUGGUGACGGUGGUGAGAAACAGUGAAUUGUGAACAUGAUUUGAGCUCCCUAUGUCCUGGCUCUUUCCCAAGAUGAGCUCCAGGCAAGAUGGAACCGAAGGGGGGCCCUAACUCCAACAGGUUUCCCUCUAUGAGACCCACAGAGGGAGAAGAGCAGACAGUCAUAUGAAGAUGGAGACAGCGAUUGGAGUGAUGCAGACACAAGCCCAGGAACGCCAAGAAUUUCCUUGGAGCCACCAGGAGCUGGAAGCGGCAAGGAGGAAUUCUCCCCUGGAGACAGAGGGAGCAGGACCCUGCUGACACCUUGAUUUUGGACUUUUGACCUCCAGAACAGUGAGAGAAUGAUUUUCUGCUGUUCCAAGCCACCAGAUUUGUGGUAAUUUGUUACGGAAGCCCAAGGAAGCUAAUAUAGAUAAUGAGCAUGAAAUACUUUUGACAUUAAAAUAAGAAAACAAGGCGGAUGCAAAGUGGCUACAGAGGACUUUCUAACAGUAGCUGUUCUUGUUCUAAUGGGAGCCAGCAGCCUUUUCCUGUGUCUUCAGGGACCAAGCUGUCUUGACCUUCUUAGCAGAUUUGCUAAUCCCUCCACCUGUUCUCUUUGCUAAUAUAGCUGUUCUUUCUGUCUCACCAGUGUACGCCCGGAACACUGAC